GGUUCUUCUCAUUGAGGGAGACACUGGUUCGGGUAAGACUAUACAAUUACCACAAUAUCUCCAUGGAGCUGCUUUGAAAGGAAAGAGCAAAGAGCAAGUUGAGGCGCUGUCAAAAAGAGUUGUCUCAUCGUGCGGCUGUGCCAGGAUGUACAAGGAUGGUAGCAUCAUUCCAUUAGAUGAUUAUUUGUGUGUUUGCCGCAAAUAUUUCAUACAUGCUGGGAUAUGGUAGUCCCAGAUGAAGAGCUCCUGAGGCUUUAUCUCACCAUGCCGUUGAGUAUGUUGGUUGUGGAGAGAGAGAGAGAGAGAGAUGAAAUGGCUGAGGAUAGAGAGCUAUUAGAACCAGUAGCUACAACACAAAGCAAGCCGCAGGAAAUAUCAAGUUACUCUUACCGAAGCAAGCACAUGCAUUGUAUGGAGAAUUAGGGUUCCUGGAGCUUCGAACUCAAAGCCAUGGGUCCUUAUCUAUCUAUGGUCCAAUUUACUCGCUCAGGAUUGAUAGAAUUGCUCGUGUUGCCUUCGAGACUGCUCGGAAACGGCGUGGCAAGCUGUGUACUGCUGACAAAGCUAAUGUCUAUGGCCUCAAUUUAUGGAAGAAACGAGUAAGAGAGCCUCUGAAUAUCCUGAUGUUGAGCUGUCACAUAUGUAUGUUGACAAUACUGCGAUGACCGGCCAACAGCUUCAAUGAUCACAGGAAGCAUUGGAAUGCUGGCAUGCCGUCUAUUGCUCAAGUAUUUCUAAUUGGCCAGAUUCUUCUUGUCCAUGUGUCGAUAUUGCCAACAGCGACCUGAAAAUUCAGUAUGUUGUGUUCGGCAAACAACGGAAAAUUUCUGAAUGUGUGUUAUAUAUGUCAAAUGAUUACUUACACAAUCUCAUCAAGCACCGCUUGGGAGAUCUUUCCUACCGUGUCUCAGAAGUUCGAAGACCCAGCAGAAGGGGAGGAUACGCUGGUGGCAAAAAUUCAAGAAAUUAUACGACCAUCUCAGUACUGGAUUCCGUGCCUUGGUGGAUGGAACUCGGUUACGAGCCAAUACUGCACCCAAGCAAUGGCCAAGGAAUAGCCUUCAAUCGGGCUCUUACUUAAGCUGUCUAACUUCCUUUAUUUGGUGUUUUCGAAUAUCUGGUUCUUGGUGUUGUUUUUAUGGACCUUUGCCAACUUCUCGUCCAAAGCGUGGGGAUCACAGGGCCAAGGUUGGUUCUUGUCAUUGUGGAAGACACUGGUUCGGGAAAGACUACACAAUAUCUCCAUGAAGCUGGUUGAAAGGUACUACCUACUACUUGCCCCAACUACACAAUAUUUCUUUUGCAGGCUGCUGGGAUCACAGGUGUUUCAGCUCGCUAGGUCUCACAGCUUUAUGGAGUGGUGCCUCCUAUUCUAAAUGAGCUGGGAAAGGUCCGGAACCUGUGGCCUAACGUCGAUUCUCAUAGCGGAGUGCUGCUGAGUUAGCUUUUGUACCGAGACCUACUCUUGAAUUUUUUGACGUCUGGUUAUUGAAGGAGUUGCUCAAUAGCAUUUUUGUUUCUGAUUAUGCUUAAGUUGAUCACAUGGCUCAUGUUGCAUUUGAGAUUGCUACGCAAAGGUGCGGCAAACAUUGUUCUGUUGAAAAGGGCCACAAGCCUACUAUUUUAGAGGGAAACGAGUGUGAAAAACAUAGCUAGCACUGCCAAACUGAUUAUGGAAAGUCAAGCCAUCGAAAGGCAAAAGCUAGAUGAUGCAAACUCAAGACAGAUUCUUAAUCCAGAACCAGCAACGCUGCUGUUCUACAGGAAAUAAUGCUGUUGGUGUCUGGCAACGUAACACAUAAACUUCUUCUUGGAUCAGUUGGGACCGUCCAAGACAACAAAGUUGCACAUAGGUUAAGGAAAUGUUGAACUUUUUGUUAAACAAUGGAAACUCCUCGUCCUCGGUUCUGUGACUCAAACGACCACUCGUGUAGCCUAGUUUUACGUAACAAACUUCCACGGAGUUGGUGAAACAUUAGGGGAGUGGCUAUCGAAACAAUGGCUUAUGGUCUUCUGGUGAGAAACAAACAAUAAAUAAGUGAAAAAAUGACAAUGUUCUCAUCGUAGUCACAGUUUUAAAUGGGAACUGGUGCUUGGAAUAAAAUAUUUUUUCUUUAAAUUUUAUUAAAAAAUGUUUUCAAACUUAAUUGUUAAAUUUUAAUACAUUGAAGACAAACAAGACUUCGCAUUU